rnacentral:rRNA from 1 species
AAGUCGGUGGGGUAACCUUUUUGGAGCCAGCCGCCUAAGGUGGGACAGAUGAUUGGGGUGAAGUCGUAACAAGGUAGCCGUAUCGGAAGGUGCGGCUGGAUCACCUCCUUU